rnacentral:rRNA from 1 species
GGAUUAGAAACCCGGGUAGUCCACGCCGUAAACGAUGUCGACUAGCCGUUGGAGACCUUAGAGUCUUUAGUGGCGCAGCUAACGCACUAAGUCGACCGCCUGGGGAGUACGGCCGCAAGGUUAAAACUCAAAUGAAUUGACGGGGGCCCGCACAAGCGGUGGAGCAUGUGGUUUAAUUCGAUGCAACGCGAAGAACCUUACCGCCCCUUGACAUCCUGGGAACUCGCUAGAGAUAGCUUGGUGCCGAAAGGAACCCAGAGACAGGUGCUGCAUGGCUGUCGUCAGCUCGUGUCGUGAGAUGUUGGGUUAAGUCCCGUAACGAGCGCAACCCUUGUCCUUAGUUGCCAGCACGUAAUGGUGGGAACUCUAAGGAGACUGCCGGUGACAAACCGGA